rnacentral:misc_RNA from 1 species
GGAAGGAUCAUUAUCGUAAAAUGGAGGUGCUAAGGCUGUCGCUGACCUUUGAGAAGGUCGUGCACGCCCCAAGCACUCUCUCACAUCCAUCCCUCUCACCCCUUUGUGCAUCACCGCGUGGGCCUUCCUUUUUGGCUUGUUCCAAGGGGGGGGGUUCGCGUUUUUACAUAGACACCCUUUAAAUGCAUGUGUAGAAUGGCUUACCUUUUGCGAUAACACGCAAUUAAUACAACUUUCAACAACGGAUCUCUUGGCUCUCGCAUCGAUGAAGAACGCAGCGAAAUGCGAUACGUAAUGUGAAUUGCAGAAUUCAGUGAAUCAUCGAAUCUUUGAACGCACCUUGCGCCCCUUGGUAUUCUGAGGGGCACGCCCGUUUGAGUGUCGUGAAUAUCCUCAACCUUUCUUGGUUUCUUAACUGAGGAAGGCUUGGACUUUGGAGGUUUUUUUUUUUUUUUUUGCUGGCCUUCCUUUGAAGCUCAGCUCCUCCUAAAUGAAUCAGUGGGGUCCGCUUUGCCGAUCCUUGACGUGAUAAGUAUGCUUCUACGUCUUGGGUUUCGCACUGUUGUCUCGGAACCUGCUUCCAACCGUCUUUAAAGGAAGACAAUGUUCGAGUUACCACUCGACCUUACAAACCUUGACCUCAAAUCGGGUGAGACUACCCGCUGAACUUAAGCAUAUCAAUAAGCGGAGGAAAAGAAACUAACAAGGAUUCCCCUAGUAACUGCGAGUGAAGCGGGAAAAGCUCAAAUUUAAAAUCUGGUGGCCUUUGGCCAUCCGAGUUGUAAUUUAGAGAAGCGUCUUCCGCGCUGGACCGUGCACAAGUCUCCUGGAAUGGAGCGUCAUAGAGGGUGAGAAUCCCGUCUUUGGCACGGACUACCAGGGCUUCUGUGAUGCGCUCUCGAAGAGUCGAGUUGUUUGGGAAUGCAGCUCAAAAUGGGUGGUGAACUCCAUCUAAAGCUAAAUAUUGGCGAGAGACCGAUAGCGAACAAGUACCGUGAGGGAAAGAUGAAAAGCACUUUGGAAAGAGAGUGAAACAGUACGUGAAAUUGUUGAAAGGGAAACGCUUGAAGUCAGUCGCGUCGACCGAGACUCAGCCUUGCUUUAGGCUUGGUGUACUUCUCGGUUGAUGGGUCAGCAUCAAUUUUGAUCCUCGGAUAAUGGCAAGGGAAAGGUAGCACCUUUUUAGGUGUGUUAUAGUCCUCUGUCGCAUACGAGGGUUGGGAUUGAGGAACUCAGCACGCACCUCUGGGUGUCGGGGCCUUGGCCCACGAUACGUGCUUAGGAUGCUGGCAUAAUGGCUUUAAACGACCCGUCUUGAAACACGGACCAAGGAGUCUAACAUACCCGCGAGUGUUCGGGUGGAAAACCCGUGUGCGUAAUGAAAGUAAAAGUUGGGACCUCUGUCGUGGAGGGCACCGAUGCCUGGACCAGACCUUCUGUGACGGCUCUGCGGUAGAGCGUGUAUGUUGGGACCCGAAAGAUGGUGAACUAUGCCUGAAUAGGGUGAAGCCAGAGGAAACUCUGGUGGAGGCUCGUAGCGAUUCUGACGUGCAAAUCGAUCGUCAAAUUUGGGUAUAGGGGCGAAAGACUAAUCGAACCAUCUAGUAGCUGGUUCCUGC